rnacentral:ncRNA from 1 species
GUUUUACCCUACUGACAAAGUAGAUACUGCGACAGUAGUCGAAGUUAGUACGAGAGGAACACUUCGUCCAGAUACUUGGUUAAUGCCGUUGUCUGAAAAGACAGUACGGCGAAGCUACCAUCUGCUGGAUUACGGCUGAACGCCUCUAAGCCGGAAUCCAUGCUGGAUAAGCAGUGUUGUACACCGUGCUCAAUGCUACAAGAAAAAGGCUAGGUCAGGCUUCGGCCUGACCAAAAUUCAAGCUGCUAUACCUCUGGCUGCAUUGACUUGUGGUCAGAGUGUAUGGUGAUCAUAGCAAUUGCAAGUAUUGGGCUCGAUAAAUCCUUUGAAGACGACUUAAUUGCAUCCGGGUAUUGUAAGUGUUGAGAGUAGGCUUAGUCUUACGAUCCACUGAGAUUCAUCCCGUGUUGCGCCGAUUUGU